rnacentral:rRNA from 1 species
GCGAAUGCUCUAGAAUUAGACGUUUGAUCCUGGCUCAGACUUGAACGCUGGCGGCAGGCCUAACACAUGCAAGUCGAACGGUAACAGGAAGCAGCUUGCUGCUUCGCUGACGAGUGGCGGACGGGUGAGUAAUAGUCUGGGAAACUGCCUGAUGGAGGGGGAUAACUACUGGAAACGGUAGCUAAUACCGCAUAACGUCGCAAGACCAAAGAGGGGGACCUUCGNGGCCUCUUGCCAUCGGAUGUGCCCAGAUGGGAUUAGCUAGUAGGUGGGGUAACGGCUCACCUAGGCGACGAUCCCUAGCUGGUCUGAGAGGAUGACCAGCCACACUGGAACUGAGACACGGUCCAGACUCCUACGGGAGGCAGCAGUGGGGAAUAUUGCACAAUGGGCGCAAGCCUGAUGCAGCCAUGCCGCGUGUAUGAAGAAGGCCUUCGGGUUGUAAAGUACUUUCAGCGGGGAGGAAGGUGUUGAGGUUAAUAACCUCAGCAAUUGACGUUACCCGCAGAAGAAGCACCGGCUAACUCCGUGCCAGCAGCCGCGGUAAUACGGAGGGUGCAAGCGUUAUCGGAAUUACUGGGGCGUAAAAGCGGCACC